GAGAAAUGCGCCAUAUAGGACGCCAUUUCUGGAAGAAAUGCGAUACAUCGAGGUAGAAACAUUCCAACAACGGGAAUAUAUUUUUACAGAAGUGUGUUCGCAUGAAGAAGUGUUGGGGAAAUAAGCAUUUAUUGUUUUUGUGGGCGGAUACCGCUUAUCAGCGUAAACUGGCUGCUGAGGGAUUCCACGGGCAACCACGCUCCCACCCUUCCGCCGGGUGUCAAUCUGCCCUAGCCACGCCCCAGGGCGGACCCAACCUCAGCCACGCCCACGCCUUGGCUAAAGAGGGACGGCGACUGGGCCCAAUCGCGUCCCAGCGGCCUAGAAUUUCUCUGCUCAGCGAUUGGAGGACCAGGGUUCCCUGAGGCGCCACCAAUCCUGAGCCCCGGACCAGCCCCUCUUCCGCUCCCGGCAGCCCCGGGACCGAAAGCGGAAGCACUGAUCUGGGAGCUGGGAGCCCCAGGCCCCCAAUCUGUAGUGUGAGCGGCGCUGUUUCCAUGUCCACUGCGAGAAAUCGAAUCUUCCAGGCGGAGGAGGAUGUUUCCAUCUUACUGAUGGGACUUCAGUCACACGCUGCGCUUUUAACGGACAGAGGUUUCCACGAC